AUAGAAUCAGUUGGAUAGCUCUUUAGAAAAAGUGGUCAUUAAUUAACAAUGCUGUAUUGCAUAUUUAAGAGUUGCUAAGAGAGAUCUUUUUUUAAAAAAAUCACAUGAAAAAAUUAACUGAGAUUGAGUUCCCGGUAUGCCUCAGUGGUUAACGAAUCCGACUAGGAGCCAUGAGGUUGCCGGUUCGAUCCCUGGCCUUACUCAGUGGGUUAAGGAUCUGGCGUUGCCGUGAGUUGUGGUGUAGGUCGCAGACUCGGCUAGGAUCCCGCGUUGUUGUGGUUCUGGCGUAGGCGGAUGGCUACGGCUCAGAUUAGACCCCUAGCCUGGGAACCUCCAUAAGCCGCGGAAGCGGCUCAAGAAAAGGCAAAAAAAAAGACCAAAAAAAAAAAAAAAUUAACUGCGGUAAUCGAUGUUAAAUUUAUUGUGGCAACCAUUUUGCAAUAUAUACAAAUACAGAAUCAUGUUGUACAUCUGAAACUAAUACAAUGUUGCAUGUUAGUUAUAUCAAAUUAAAACUGGGUGGAAAAGUAAAAAAGAAAAGAGAAGGGAAGGAAAGCCAAAAGGAGGGGUAGCCAGAUAAGGCCUCUAUUUCAUAUCUAAAUUCUCCAUCUCUAAAUGAUACACCAUGGAUUCCUCCCAUCUACUCCCCAGUAGGCUGUCUGUUUGAAGUUCUGCUGUGUUUCUCCACCCUGGAGGUGUUCUAGCUAAAUCACUUCCUAGUCCGAGGGGCUUCCCUAACUGCAGUAGCUCUAACUGAUGACCUUCCUGGAGUCUGACCUGGAUUUAGCCUUUGAACAGGGUUUCUCAACAGUAGCACUAUUGACAUUUCCAGCAAGAUACUUCUUUGCUGUGGGGUCUGUCCUGUAUAUUAUAGGAUGUUUAGUGGCAUCCUUGUCUUCUAUUCAUUAGAUGAUAGUAGCACACCCCCCACCCCCUACUCCCAGGUGUUACAAUGAAAAAUGUCUCCAGACUUUGUCAUGUCCCCUGGAGGCAGGGGCAAAAUCUCUCCCCCUACCCUACCUCAUUUGAGAACUACUGGCCUAGAUGACUAAUGCUUGGGGUUCCACUGCAGUUUCUUAGGAGUUUGGUGUGGUGGCCCCUGUGGAAAGAGCAGGGAUGCAUCUCUUGGCAUCUAGUCCCCUCAGCAUGGAAAAAUUUGUAUACCCAGCUAUUCUGAAAAGGCCCUGGUCUGACUGCAGGGGGUGGGAGUGGGUCACCUCUGCCCCAUUCUUCAAUACAGGACUCCACAAGGCAUUGGUUGAUUCCCCUUAGUGAAUUCCUCUCUGGCACACAGUAGGCAUUUGGUACAUGUUAACAUUUAUUUUCUUCUAUCUUUUAUUCAUGGUAUAUGUUUUUUAUCUUCAGUCACUGGUCUAUGGAGAAGACAUUUAAGAAGACAUUCCUUAAAACAUAGGGAGUUCCCGUCGUGGCGCAGUGGUUAACGAAUCCGACUAGGAACCAUGAGGUUGCGGGUUCGGUCCCUGCCCUUGCUCAGUGGGUUAACAAUCCGGCAUUGCCGUGAGCUGUGGUGUAGGUUGCAGACUCGGCUCGGAUCCCGCGUUGCUGUGGCUCUGGCGUAGGCCGGUGGCUACAGCUCCGAUUCAACCCCUAGCCUGGGAACCUCCAUAUGCCGCGGGAGCGGCCCAAGAAAUAGCAACAACAACAACAA
ensembl:lncRNA